GAUGAACGCUAGCGAUAGGCUUAACACAUGCAAGUCGAGGGGCAGCACAAGGUAGCUUGCUAUCUGGGUGGCGACCGGCGCACGGGUGCGUAACGCGUAUGCAACUUGCCCUAUACAGGAGGAUAACCCGUCGAAAGACGGACUAAUACUGCGUAUGCUCACAACUUGGCAUCAAGUGGUGAGGAAAGAAAUUCGGUAUAGGAUAGGCAUGCGUCCCAUUAGCUUGUUGGUGAGGUAGCGGCUCACCAAGGCAACGAUGGGUAGGGGAACUGAGAGGUUUAUCCCCCACACUGGUACUGAGACACGGACCAGACUCCUACGGGAGGCAGCAGUGAGGAAUAUUGGUCAAUGGGCGCGAGCCUGAACCAGCCAAGUCGCGUGAAGGAUGACUGUCUUAUGGAUUGUAAACUUCUUUUAUACGGGAAUAACAAGAGUCACGUGUGACUCCCUGCAUGUACCGUAUGAAUAAGCAUCGGCUAACUCCGUG
rnacentral:rRNA from 1 species